rnacentral:rRNA from 1 species
GACGAACGCUGGCGGCGUGCUUAACACAUGCAAGUCGAACGGAAAGGCCCUGCUUUUGUGGGGUGCUCGAGUGGCGAACGGGUGAGUAACACGUGAGUAACCUGCCCUUGACUUUGGGAUAACUUCAGGAAACUGGGGCUAAUACCGGCUAGGAGCUCCUGCUGCAUGGUGGGGGUUGGAAAGUUUCGGCGGUUGGGGAUGGACUCGCGGCUUAUCAGCUUGUUGGUGGGGUAGUGGCUUACCAAGGCUUUGACGGGUAGCCGGCCUGGGAGGGUGACCGGCCACAUUGGGACUGAGAUACGGCCCGGACUCCUACGGGGGGCAGCGGUGGGGAAUAUUGCACAAUGGGCGGAGGCCUGAUGCAGCAACGCCGCGUGCGGGAGGACGGCCUUCGGGUGGUAAACCGCUUUCGCCUGUGACGAAGCGUGAGUGACGGUAAUGGGUAAAGAAGCACCGGCUAACUACGU